rnacentral:rRNA from 1 species
CCCUUAGAUGUUCUGGGCCGCACGCGCGCUACACUGAUGCAUUCAACGAGUCUAAAACCUGGUCUGAUAGGGCUGGGUAAUCUUUUGAAAGUGCAUCGUGAUUGGGAUAGAUGAUUGCAAUUCUUCAUCUUCAACGAGGAAUGCCUAGUAAACGCAAGUCAUCAGCUUGCAUUGAUUACGUCCCUGCCCUUUGUACACACCGCCCGUCGCUCCCACCGAUUGAAUGAUCCGAUGAAUACCAUGGAUUGAGAGUACGAAUGGGUUCGCUCAUUUCUGCUGCUCGAGAAGUGGAGUAAAUCUUAUCAUUUAGAGGAAGGAGAAGUCGUAACA